rnacentral:lncRNA from 1 species
CAUCUCUGCGUUCUAGGUCUGUGAGAAUGGUCCUCACUACAUGCCUCUGGUGGAGCUCUUCAUAUGUUCAAACGGUUUUAUGGUGUGUGCCAUCUUUUCUUCUCCACUAGUUUGUGAGCUUCUGGAGACCAGGAAUCUGGGCUUAUCUCAUUCAUGUAUGUAACUCUGGAGCACCCGGUAUUUAAUAGACACUUCAUAAUUGUUUAUUGAAUGGAUUAGUGUAAGUUCCACCAAGGAACAAAGCUAUUAUAUUUCUUGGAUUCUUCAUAAUGCCAUGUCUAGUAUUAUGCAAGUAUCAAGUAGGCACUUUAACUACAAAAUAAAGGGUGCAAUGAAGCAUUGCAAAGCUAUCGUGUGCAGGGACUGAGCUUAGUACUUUCCAUUAACUGACUCUGGUCAGUUGGUCCCUAACAACCUUAUAUAAUAGCACUACUGUCCACAUUCUGCAUAUAAGGAAAUCAGAGCUUAAGGGGUAGAAGUGACUGGGCCAUCAUCAUACUGUCAUCUAUGAGCCAAGCCAGAAUUUGAUUACAAGAGCACCUGAUUUGGCAAUAAGGUAAUAUGUUCUGCUGCUGCCAAUGUGAUGGUGGUGAUGGCGGUGAUGACCACUUUAGAACUUCCUCUUCUUCCCCUGUCUGCUUGGUCAUAAGCAAAGUCUUCUGCAAUUGAUCCAAGAAACCAGUGCUCCAUUGUGCCACCAUGAAGAAAUGUGAUUGCAUUUCAUGCAGCAAAUAUGCACAAGUCAGGCUACAUGGUCAUCUUCUCUCUUGCAGAAUCAUUUAUCCAUAACAGAAGUCAAAGUUACUAAUCUUAAGAACAUAAACAUUGAGCACGUAAGGCUAAGACAUUUAAAAUUGGCCUUUGGGAUCUGAAGAACCAGCUGAGGCUUCUUUCCUUUUCCUUUUUCUUUUUGGAGACUAAAAUAAGAAAACUUGUUUGAAUUGGCAACAUUGUUCAUUAAUGGGACCUGAGCUGUCUUUUGGUAUUUAAAAGGCAAUCCUCAAAAAAGUUGGGUCUGGAAGCCAGUGUGGGUGUGUUAAGUACCUCAUUAGGUGCAGAGAAAGAACACAGGGCUCCUUCUUAAGGGACUCUCCCGCUCCAGGAUUACUGAAAAGGCCCCGGAGUUUGCUUGGGGCUCCUAUAGAGAUAUAGGCACACCCUUGACUUGUGAGCACUCCUCUGAUAGCUAAGGUCAACAUCUUUGUCAGAACAGAAGCCUGUAGGGGGAGGAAGUGAGGGAAGAGGUGGAGAAGUGAGGACCCACAUCUACCCACCUCACCAGACCAGCUCAGUCAGUCCUGGAUGAACAGUGGGAACCAGCCCUUUUGCCCUCAUGUCCAUCUAAUGCUGAUGUAUUAAAAUGAGGUAUCCACCUGUGCACUGUGCUCUGCACAACCCUGGGGGCGGGGUGGCUAUCUGCCUGGGAAUAUAUGUGAGUGGUGGGCUCAAUACUCAGCACAGUACUCAGCCUCCAUAAACAUAGACAACCAGGCUGGAGAUGUGGCUCAAGCGGUAGCACGCUCGCCUGGCAUGCAUGCGGCCCGGGUUCGAUCCUCAGCACCACAUACAAACAAAGAUGUUAUGUCCGCCGAAUACUAAAAAAUAAAUAUUAAAAAAAUUCUCUCUCUCUCUCUCUCUCUCUCUUAAAAAAAAAAAACUGGGUAAACAUAGGCAACAGUCCUAAGUGACGUGUACAGGCACAUCUGUGUCUAUGUGGGCAGUUUAAAUGAUCCUGAUUAUACCUUUGAUGAUGCAAAUCAGUGGAAUGCUCAGCAAUUGUCACCUCAAAACUGUAAACGAAUUUUAUUCUACAAAGUUAUACCUAAAUAUUUGUGUAUAUUUCAAAGUGCUUAUUAUAAUGAUAUCACUACUAUUUAUUUAUUUUUUAAAUGUAACAGUUGAGCAUCUGCAAGAUUUUAGGCAUGGUUCAAAAGUCUGGAUUAAACAACUUCAUUGCUUAGAAAAAACUGUUAACUGAUUCAUUCAAAGAUAAAAAGCCUAUGCUUUUUGUACUUUAUGCCAUUUUUUUAAUGUGAAGGUGUCCCCCAAAUCCUUCUUAUUUUUACAUGGAGAUGACAUUGGGCUAUUCCUCUCAAACAGCCCUAUAUAUUAGUAUGCCCCAGUCAAUAUAAUCCUUAUGCAAUGCUUUUUUUUUUCUUUUCUUCCUAGAUCUUCCUUCCUCUUUUACUAAGGAGGCCCCAGAAAGUAAGUUGGCUUCUUUAAGGUUUUCCUCAACUGCCCUUAGCAGAGUGAGCCCAGGACCAACUGCCCAGGGAGAAUAGUCAGACUUGGAUCUCAGAGGAUGCUUGGAUCUGUGGGGGAAAGCUGCUGUCCAACCAGAACAUCUGGAUCAUUUGGAUCAUUAAAUGGGCAACAAAUAACUGAAAAUAUGUGUGUGUGUGUGCACACACACUCAUGCAUGUGUGAAAGUGUGUGUGUUUGGUAUAGAAUCAAACUUUCCUUGUGGAUUAGUUGGAAAAAUAAAUGACCAUAUUUGAAACCCAAAUCUGUGGAGUUGCUCAAACUUGUAACAAUAAAUUCUUUGUAAAGUGAGCCUCUGCCUCUGCUAGUCU